UUAUAAAUUUAACGGCCGCGGUAUUUUGACCGUGCAAAGGUAGCGCAAUCACUUGUCUUUUAAAUAAAGACCCGUAUGAAUGGCAUAACGAGGGCUUAACUGUCUCCCUUUUCUAGUCAAUGAAAUUGAUCUCCCCGUGCAGAAGCGGGGAUAAAGACAUAAGACGAGAAGACCCUGUGGAGCUUUAAACGCCAAAACAGCCCAUGUUAACUAACCUCCACCUAAGAGCUAAAACCAGCCGGAGCCUGUUUUACUGUUUUUGGUUGGGGCGACCGCGGGGUAAGAAUUAACCCCCAUGUAGAAAGAGAGUAUUACCUCUUUAAAAUAUAGAGCUACCGCUCUAAGUUACAGAACUUCUGACUAGCAAUGAUCCGGUAUAACCGAUCAACGAACCGAGUUACCCCAGGGAUAACAGCGCAAUCCUCUUUAAGAGCCCAUAUCGACAAGAGGGUUUACGACCUCGAUGUUGGAUCAGGACUUCCUAAUAGUGCAGCCGCUAUAAAGGGUUCGUUUGUUCAACGAUUAAAGU
rnacentral:rRNA from 1 species